rnacentral:misc_RNA from 1 species
AAAGUCGUAACAAGGUUUCCGUAGGUGAACCGGUUUGCCUACUGCAUCGAUGAAAUGCGCGGUCUGCACUAGUCUUAUAGUGCAGGCAACAUCGUCUAAAUGUUGAGCGUACCUGGCGUUUGCCUAGAACAAUCAGCAGCCGGAGCCUUUUGGCCUGGUUCACAGAUCACCCGACGAUGGCCCACUGUGGUUGAGAUAUGAUCGGUCCUGGCCUGAAAAGGCGCCGGAGGCGCGGAACCUGCGGAAGGAUCAUUACCGAGAGACGGGCCCUAACCGGUCCCAACUCUUCACCCCUGUCUACCGAAAUAUGUUGCUUUGGCGGGCCAACCGGGCUUCCCCGGGGAAGGCUGACCCCUUCUCGUGCCCGCCAAAGGCCUCAAUAAACCCUGUGAUCAGUGUCGUCCGAGUAAAAACAAUCGUUAAAACUUUCAACAACGGAUCUCUUGGUUCCG